CCGCGCCUGAUUAUCCGCACUCGCUGGUCUCGGAGCGCGCGCCCGAUUAGGCGCCCAUGGCCGCGCACAGCUGCGGGCCCGCGCCGCGGGCACACGCCUCCGUCCCGCUCGCUCCCGAGUUGCGGGCCGCGCCCAGGAGCCGGGUGGCUCGCGUCACGCAGAGGCCUCAAUAAAGGGCUUUGUGGUGCCAGUCCCGCCCGCCGGGGGCUAGGGGAGCCAAGCCCGGGACGGAGUCCCACGGGGGCCCUCGGGUUAAGCGGCCAAGGCUCGCACACCCUUGACGGAACAAAACUUGGGAGCGAAAGAGAUGGUCCUUGUGAGGAAUAAAGAUCAUGUCUGUCAUUUCUCUGCCAACAUGAAAAGCUCUUUUAGAGUUUUUCACAGCAACAUGCAAAAAGAAUGAAACUGGGACAGCCACAUGCAGAAAAAUGAAAUUGGACCAUUUCCUUACACCACACACGAAAAUAGACUCAAAUGGAUGAAGGACCUCAAUGUGAGAAAGGAAUCCAUCAAAAUCCUUGAGGAGAACAUAGGCAGCAACCUCUUCGACCUCAGCCGCAGCAACAUCUUCCUAGGAACAUCGCCAAAGGCAAGGGAAGCAAGGGCAAAAAUGAACUAUUGGGAUUUUAUCAAGAUCAAAAGCUUUUGCACAGCAAAGGAAACAGUUAACAAAACCAAAAGACAACUGACAGAAUGGGAGAAGAUAUUUGCAAACGAUAUAUCAGAUAAAGACCUAGUGUCCAAAAUCUAUAAAGAACUUAACAAACUCAACACCCAAAGAACAACUAAUCCAAUCAAAAAAUGGGCAGAGGACAUGAACAGACAUUUCUGCAAAGAAGACAUCCAGAUGGCCAACAGACACAUGAAAAAGUGCUCCAUAUCACUCGGCAUCAGGGAAAUACAAAUCAAAACCACAAUGAGAUAUCACCUCACACCAGUCAGAAUGGCUAAAAUCAACAAGUCAGGAAAUGACAGAUGCUGGCGAGGAUGCGGAGAAAGGGGAACCCUCCUACACUGUUGGUGGGAAUGCAAGCUGUGCAACCACUCUGGAAAACAGCAUGGAAGUUCCUCAAAAUGCUGAAAAUAGAGCUACCCUAUGACCCAGCAAUAGCACUACUGGGUAUUUACCCUAAAGAUACAAACGUAGUGAUCCGAAGGGGCAUGUGCCCCCGAGUGUUUAUAGCAGCAAUGUCCACAAUAGCCAAACUAUGGAAAGAACCUAAAUGUCCAUCAACAGAUGAAUGGAUAAAGAAGAUGUGGUAUAUAUACACAAUGGAAUACUAUGCAGCCAUCCAAAGAAAUGAAAUCUUGGCAUUUGCGACAACGUGGAUGAAAUUAGAGCGUAUUAUGCUUAGCGAAAUAUGUCAAGCAGAGAAAGACAACUAUCAUCUGAUCUCCCUGAUAUGAGGAAGUGGUGAUGCAACAUGGGGGCUUAAGUGGGUAGUAGAAGAAUAAAUGAAACAAGAUGGGAUUGGGAGGGAGACAAACCGUAAGUGACUCUUAAUUUCACAAAACAAACUGAGGGUUGCUGAGGGGAGGGGAGUUGGGAGAAGGGGGGUGGGGUUAUGGACAUCAGGGAAGGUAUGUGCUUUGGUGAGUGCUGUGAAGUGUGUAAACCUGGCGAUUCACAGACCUGUACCCGUGGGGAUAAAAAUACAUUGAUAAAUAUUUUAUCAGAAAUAAAAAAUUAGAAAUUUAAAAAAAAAGAGAAUGAAACUGAACCACUUUUUUACACCAUAUACAAAAAUAAAUUCAAAAUGGAUUAAAGACUUAAAUGUAAGACCUGAAACCAUAAAAUUCCUAGAAGAAAACAUAGGAGGUAAACUCUGUGACAUCACUUUUAGCAAUAUUUUUUUGGAUCUAUCUCCGGAGGCAAAAACAGCAAAAGCAAAAAUAAACUAUUGUGACUACAUCAAACUAAAAAGCUUUUGCAAAGCAAAGGAAACCAUCAACAAAACAAAAAGAGAGUCUACCAAAUGGUAAAAGAUGUUUGUAAAUUAUAUAUAUCCCAUACAUGGUUAACAUCCAAAAUAUAUAAAGAGCUCAUAGAACUCAAUAUCAGAAAUACAAACAGUCCAAUUAAAAAAUGGACAAAGAGGUCACCUGGGUGGUACAGUUGGUUAAGAAUCUAACUCUUGGUUUCGGCUCAGGUUGUGAGAUCAAGCCCUGUGUCGGGCUCUGCAUUCAAGGUGGAGUCUGCUUGGGACUCUUGCUCCCUCCCCCUCUCCCCCCAACUUUUCUAAAAUAAAGAAAUAAAUAAAUCUUUUUCCAAAAAACGGACAGGGGCUCUGAAUACACAUUUUUUCAUAGAAGACAUCCAGAUAGCCAACAGACACAAAGAUACUAAAUAUCACUAACCAUCAGGGAAGUGCAAAUCAAAACCUCAAUGAGGUAUCACCCAACAAGGGUCAGAAUGGCUAGUGUCAAAAAGACAAGGGAAAAAAAGAUAAGAAAUUACAAGUGUUGACAAGGAAGAGGAGAAAAGGAAACUUUUGUGGGAAUGUACAUUGGUGCACCCACUGUGGAAAACAAUAUGGAGGUUCCUCAAAAAGUUAAAAGUAGAAAUACCAUAUGAUCCAGCAAUUCCACUUCUGGAUAUUUAGCCUAAG